rnacentral:rRNA from 1 species
AUACGUAGGUGGCAAGCGUUAUCCGGAAUUAUUGGGCGUAAAGCGCGCGCAGGUGGUUCCUUAAGUCUGAUGUGAAAGCCCCCGGCUCAACCGGGGAGGGUCAUUGGAAACUGGGGAACUUGAGUGCAGAAGAGGAUAGUGGAAUUCCAAGUGUAGCGGUGAAAUGCGUAGAGAUUUGGAGGAACACCAGUGGCGAAGGCGACUGUCUGGUCUGUAACUGACACUGAGGCGCGAAAGCGUGGGGAGCAAACAGGAUUAGAUACCCUGGUAGUCCACGCCGUAAACGAUGAGUGCUAAGUGUUGGGGGGUUUCCGCCCCUCAGUGCUGCAGCUAACGCAUUAAGCACUCCGCCUGGGGAGUACGGUCGCAAGACUGAAACUCAAAGGAAUUGACGGGG